UUUGAUAAGCUUUCAGCCCUACAGUAUGCUUCAAUAUUAUUUUGUAGACUACUGUAUAUACAGUUAGCGUAAUCUCAUUGUGGCUGCGACCAUACUUCGUAAAACUUUGCCUUUUUUUUUUUUCUUGAUGUGGCUUAUAUUGGGACUCUGCCUCACCUCUUCAUUCAUUCACUCAGUUGAAAUGCUGCAGUGUCUUAGUUUUUCGAGUCCAGCCUGUGGGAAUCCAUUUUUCAUGGCUACUACUGGUGAAGUUUGUGCUGUUUUAAGGAUUGAUGGAAACACUUCAGAUGUCAAUACUUCAUGUAUCUUAAGUACCUAUUUGCCCAAAGCAUAUUGUUUGGAGCAGAAGGCAAAUAGUUCACCAGCCAUUGCAUCAGUUGGUUUAGGUUUUGUCAAUGUACAGUAGCUGUCAGUGUUU